rnacentral:rRNA from 1 species
UACGUAGGGUGCAAGCGUUGUCCGGAAUUUAUUGGGCGUAAAGAGCUCGUAGGCGGUCUGUCGCGUCUGCUGUGAAAACUCAGGGCUUAACCCUGAGCUUGCAGUGGGUACGGGCAGACUAGAGUGCGGGUAGGGGAGACUGGAAUUCCGUGGUGAUAGCGGUGAAAUGACGCAGAUAUCAGGAGGAACACCAACGGGCGAAGGCAGCUCGCUGGGACGUGACUGACGGCUGGAGAACGCGAAAGCGUGGGGAGCAAACAGG